GAAUGUGCUGUGACGAGACAAUUUGUGGACUAGAGUUUCUGAUCUGGGUUCUUCUCCCAGAAGCUGAUUAACAACCCUUGGCUGUCCGAGCACAAUU